rnacentral:miRNA from 1 species
CGGCGGAUGCCUCCUUCGCCGGAGCUUGGAACAGACUCACGGCCAGCGAAGUGAGUUCAAUGGCUGAGGUGAGGUACCC